rnacentral:rRNA from 1 species
AUUGAACGCUGGCGGAAUGCUUUACACAUGCAAGUCGAACGGCAGCACGGACUUCGGUCUGGUGGCGAGUGGCGAACGGGUGAGUAAUGUAUCGGAACGUGCCCAGUCGUGGGGGAUAACGUAGUGAAAAUUACGCUAAUACCGCAUACGAUCUAUGGAUGAAAGCGGGGGAUCGCAAGACCUCGCGCGAUUGGAGCGGCGGAUAUCAGAUUAGGUAGUUGGUGGGGUAAAGGCCCACCAAGCCAACGAUGUGUAGCUGGUCUGAGAGGACGACGAGCCAGAAUGGAACUGAGACACGGUCCAGACUCCUACGGGAGGCGGCAGUGGGGAAUUUUGGACAAUAGGCGAAAGCCUGAUCCAGCCAUUCGGCGUGCAGGAUGAAGGCCCUCGGGUUGUAAACUGCUUUUGUACAGAACGAAAAGGUUUCUACUAAUACUAGGAGCUCAUGACGGUACUGUAAGAAUAAGCACCGGCUAACUACGCGCCAGCCGCCGCCGUAA